rnacentral:rRNA from 1 species
GACGAACGCUGGCGGCGUGCUUAACACAUGCAAGUCGAACGGAAAGGCCCUGCUUUUGUGGGGUGCUCGAGUGGCGAACGGGUGAGUAACACGUGAGUAACCUGCCCUUGACUUUGGGAUAACUUCAGGAAACUGGGGCUAAUACCGGAUAGGAGCUCCUGCUGCAUGGUGGGGGUUGGAAAGUUUCGGCGGUUGGGGAUGGACUCGCGGCUUGUCAGCUUGUUGGUGGGGUAGUGGCUUAACAAGGCUUUGACGGGUAGCCGGCCUGAGAGGGUGACCGGCGAGAUUGGGACGGAGAUACGGCCAAGAGUGCUACGGAGGGGAGCAGUGGGGGAGAGUGCACAAUGGGCGCAAGCCUGAUGCAGCGACGCCGCGUGGGGGAUGACGGCCUUCGGGUUGGAAAAUGAUUUCGCUAGGGACGAAGAGUAAUUGACGGUAACUGAAGAAGAAGCACCGGCUAACUAAGUG